CUGGGGCAUUACUAUAUUACAAUAGGUGGGUGGAGGACUAGGGUUUCUUAGAAUAUGAGAGAACAGAGGUGGUCAUGUGCCAAGACUAUGUAUGUUACGUCCUUGCAAUGUACAUUAAACAAUAACAAGAAACGGCUCUCGGGGCGUCUGAGUGCAAGAAGGCAGAUUAAUCCUUUCAGUGCUGGAAUGUUAGCCAGUCUCACAUCAACGCUUUCAGUGCUGGAAUGUUCGUUAAUCUCAUUAAAUACAAUCCCCCCUUUUAUUCUAAAAGCAUAAACAAAUGAAGAGAGGGAAUUGGGUGAUCUGGAUACCAUCGAUAAAGGUCAAUGCAUCCACCUGAGUGCCCAAGUCAGGUAUACACACUGACACUGCUAGCCAUACAUACUGCUAAACUGUGACGAAAGCAACUUCGCCACCGGUUUUUGGAGAGGAAUAAUGGCUAGCCUCUUGCCCUGUGACUUUGUACCCUGUGAUAAACCUGGCUAAAAUACUUUAAACAGGCUUUGUUAAUGUGAGUUAUGUACUUUUGCACUCCAGACAGAGAGACAGACUGUUAGCCCUGAUUCUAUGGAACAGUUUUGGGCAUGGGGUCAUGCAUGCGGUUGGUCAAAACUGACCAGGAAAUCCUGAACCCCUGUUGAGUGAUUUAUGGAUAUGUUGUUCACCCAGAUCAGGGCUAUCAGGGGGAUUUAUGGGGAUAUGUGGUGUUUUCCAGACUUUGUAAAAGGGAAUGUUUUUUCUGCAUGGAGUUAGUCUAUUGUUUUCAUAAUUGUAUCACAGGCAGAGGGGAGGGAUUGUGUACACUGUAUGGGAGUGUCUGAAUGUAAACCGCUUUAUUGGCUUGUAUGUUUUGUAUUCGAUGCCCAACUAGGUCCACCUGGGCGUCACCUUUGCUGUAAAACUUGUAUAAAAGACCAGUGUGUGCCAUUAAACUUUCUGUUCCUUUUUGACCCUCAACACGUAGUCUUGUCUCGUGAUUGGAGGGGGAACUGCUAUAAUCACACUGGGGAUUGCUAUACUCUGUAUACUCCCCUGGGUUCUAAUCACUAGCUCUUAUAAGAGCUGUUCCUGCUUCGCUCUCUGAAGGAAGAGAGGUUCACCCCCUGGAGCCUGGUUGUGGGUCCAGGGUGGGUAGGAGAAGGCGAGACCCCAACCAAGCUGC